AGUCGAGCGGACCGACGGGAGCUUGCUCCCUUAGGUCAGCGGCGGACGGGUGAGUAACACGUGGGUAACCUGCCUGUAAGACUGGGAUAACUCCGGGAAACCGGGGCUAAUACCGGAUGCUUGAUUGAACCGCAUGGUUCAAUCAUAAAAGGUGGCUUUUAGCUACCACUUACAGAUGGACCCGCGGCGCAUUAGCUAGUUGGUGAGGUAACGGCUCACCAAGGCGACGAUGCGUAGCCGACCUGAGAGGGUGAUCGGCCACACUGGGACUGAGACACGGCCCAGACUCCUACGGGAGGCAGCAGUAGGGAAUCUUCCGCAAUGGACGAAAGUCUGACGGAGCAACGCCGCGUGAGUGAUGAAGGUUUUCGGAUCGUAAAACUCUGUUGUUAGGGAAGAACAAGUACCGUUCGAAUAGGGCGGUACCUUGACGGUACCUAACCAGAAAGCCACGGCUAACUACGUGCCAGCAGCCGCGGUAAUACGUAGGUGGCAAGCGUUGUCCGGAAUUAUUGGGCGUAAAGCGCGCGCAGGCGGUUUCUUAAGUCUGAUGUGAAAGCCCCCGGCUCAACCGGGGAGGGUCAUUGGAAACUGGGGAACUUGAGUGCAGAAGAGGAGAGUGGAAUUCCACGUGUAGCGGUGAAAUGCGUAGAGAUGUGGAGGAACACCAGUGGCGAAGGCGACUCUCUGGUCUGUAACUGACGCUGAGGCGCGAAAGCGUGGGGAGCGAACAGGAUUAGAUACCCUGGUAGUCCACGCCGUAAACGAUGAGUGCUAAGUGUUAGAGGGUUUCCGCCCUUUAGUGCUGCAGCAAACGCAUUAAGCACUCCGCCUGGGGAGUACGGUCGCAAGACUGAAACUCAAAGGAAUUGACGGGGGCCCGCACAAGCGGUGGAGCAUGUGGUUUAAUUCGAAGCAACGCGAAGAACCUUACCAGGUCUUGACAUCCUCUGACAACCCUACAGAUAGGGCUUCUCCUUCGGGGGAAGAA
rnacentral:rRNA from 1 species